rnacentral:rRNA from 1 species
CGCGGCCUAUCAGCUUGUUGGUGGGGUAAUGGCCUACCAAGGCGGCGACGGGUAUCCGGCCUGAGAGGGUGUACGGACACAUUGGGACUGAGAUACGGCCCAGACUCCUACGGGAGGCAGCAGUGGGGAAUAUUGCACAAUGGGCGCAAGCCUGAUGCAGCGACGCCGCGUGGGGGAUGAAGGCCUUCGGGUUGUAAACUCCUUUCGCUAUCGACGAAGCCACUUUGUGGUGACGGUAGGUAGAUAAGAAGCACCGGCUAACUACGUGCCAGCAGCCGCGGUAAUACGUAGGGUGCGAGCGUUGUCCGGAAUUACUGGGCGUAAAGAGCUCGUAGGUGGUUUGUCGCGUCGUCUGUGAAAACCUGCGGCUUAACCGUGGGCGUGCGGUGGAUACGGGCACACUUGAGUUCGGUAGGGGAGACUGGAAUUCCUGGUGUAGCGGUGGAAUGCGCAGAUAUCAGGAGGAACACCAGUGGCGAAGGCGGGUCUCUGGGCCGAAACUGACGCUGAGGAGCGAAAGCGUGGGGAGCGAACAGGAUUAGAUACCCUGGUAGUCCACGCCGUAGACGGUGGGCGCUAGGUGUGGGAUGCUGUUCACGUGUCCCGUGCCGUAGCUAACGCAUUAAGCGCCCCGCCUGGGGAGUACGG